rfam:Microgenomates bacterium GW2011_GWA2_37_6 TS51_C0029, whole genome shotgun sequence.
UCUGUUAAAAUUACAAAACCUAAGACAGCGGGUUCCCGAUUUGAUCGGGAUUAAACAAGAAAAGAAGUGAAUUCUUCUUUGAAGAACCUGCCGAGGAAGCGAAGAUAAUUAAAUAGCUACAUGGUUCCAUAGCUGCAUGACUAAACCAUUUUAACUAUUCUAGCUAUUUAACUAUUCGCAAACUCUCCUUAGGAGAGUUUUUUUGUACUCCU